UUAUCAUUUAGAGGAAGGAGAAGUCG
rnacentral:ncRNA from 2 species